GCUUGCGCCUCUACGAAAAAUCAAUAGAACCGACUAUGUAUGGGGACUCCUGUUAUUGGAACACCAAACCUACGUCACACACUGGCAACAGGAAAUUCGAUUCUGCGAGGAAAAGUGCACGAACUUUUCCCUCGUUGCGACCUCCGCGAGAUGACAAUGGAUCUUGUUCUGUUCCUCGUACACACGUGAUAUUCGAGCCAUCAUUAUACCGAAGACACUUGAUAUUUCGAUGCCGCAGGAUUCAAGGACAUGAUCUUGGAUUUCUCGCAACUGCGUAAACAAAUGGUUUGCCAUAGGCAGAGGGAUGCUAUCACUACAGUUGGGGAAUUAUAAAUUAUUCAAUAAUUACUUUUUACUGAGUAUUUACAGAAUGUCCCAUAAAGAGUGGUACAAUAAAUAGCAGGGCCAUAUUAUAUCUAAAAACGAAUAAAAUGUGUAGAAUAAAAUAUUUUAAUAUGACACUUAUAGUUAGAAUUAUAGUUUCGAUUCAGAACUAUUAGAACUAUAAGAUUUCGAAGAAUAAAAAAUUGAAAUAUUAAACCUUCGCGAAUGAUGAUCUUUCAAUUACUAAUACCUAAAAAAACCUAAAAAAAUAAUAAUUAUUUUUUUCUCAAUACUUGUUUUUCCAUUCGUUGAUGAGCUGUUUUUAAGUACUUUCAAUCAAGAACCCUUUGACGCUUCCAACGGAAGCAACGAAGCUUGAAUCUUAACGAGGAACACAUGGAACAAGCACAAUGCGCGUACCCAUAAUAAAUUUCUAAUGCUCUCUUCUCUUUUUACGGUUUGCACACUUAUUCUUCUCUACCGGUAAUGACCAUUAGGCAGAGAAAAACCAUAAAUAAAUUAAAUUUGAACGUUCGAACGAUAAAGUGAAAAUACUCUUGAAAAUAUUUAUUGCUUUAAGCAAAAAUUAAUUCCGAUAUUUCUUUACCUUCAAAAAUAUUAAUACGAACUAUAACACCGUCAGAUUUGAAAAAUAAACACCGAAUGAAACAGUCUGUUCAUGAAAAAGUCGAUUCGUUGCUCUACUUACACACCGAUCAAGAUUACUGUAUCAUGUAUCGUAAUUAUCGAAUUCGUGGAUACAUUCCACAUAAAAUAACUACUAUGGCUUCGUU